rnacentral:misc_RNA from 1 species
AAGGAUCAUUAUUGAUUUUAAAGGAUGUGCUGGCAUUUAUGUAUGUGCACUCUGAACAAAACCAAUAUCCACCUGUGCACACUUGUAGGCAUUGCUUUGCCUAUGUUUCUUUACAAACAACCAUUGAUGUAUCUGAAUGCUAUUUGAUAAAUUGUAAUACAACUUUCAACAAUGGAUCUCUUGGUUCUC